rnacentral:lncRNA from 1 species
GUCUUUGCCUGCUGCCAUCCACGUGAUAUGUGACUUGCUGCUCCUUGCCUUCUGCCAUAAUUGUGAGGCCUCCUCAGCCACACGGAAAUGCUUAUAGGCAUAAGAGACUUGCCUUGUCUCAGAUGAAACUUUGGACUGUGGACUUUUGAGUUAAUGCUGAUAUUAGGACUCUGCUUACCCUUUGUGAAUAAGCCCAGUGAAUCUGCUGAGUGAUGAGAGAGAGAGUGGGCCAGUCACUUCAUUGCUCCAGGAUUUUCUGUUGAAUGACACUUCAUAAAAAAGACUUUGAUUGCUGAGUUACAAAGACAAUUGUAUCUUCUUGUAAAGCAUACAGUCUUGGUGGUCCUACCCCAUGAACUGGCUGUCCCAGGACGGUUUUACGGUGGUUAUGUUGAAGAUGUAAAUAUUCUCCCUGCUGUGAGUAUUACUGCAGCUGCCCAAAGAUGCUUUAUUUUAAAGAUGUGGAUACAGGAAGAUAAAAGCAUCAGAAACACUGCAUGGGGUUGUGUAAGCAGAAGCUGGAAGACCCUUGAAAAGAGCAUUCAUUCAAGAAAUGAAGCAUGAGAUAGGAUGGAAGGAGGGAAGAAAGACAAGCAUAUGGCAUAUCAGGUCUCUUCCAGUGCUAAAGGCUGCCUAUGAUACUCAUCUGACCUGAUUUCUCCUGCACAGUGUUGCAACUGACGAGUAGCAGACUUGCCCUUGCCUGCAUUUGGGGGGAUGGCUGAGACUUUCCUUACAGAAAGCCCUACUUUCAGCAU